AUCAUCGGUGGUUCAGUGGUAGAAUGCUCGCCUGCCACGCGGGCGGCCCGGGUUCGAUUCCCUGCCACAAUU
rnacentral:tRNA from 1 species